UAGGCCUCACUGCAGGAGAAUGAAGAUGAUC
rnacentral:piRNA from 1 species